rnacentral:rRNA from 1 species
AGCGAACGUUAGCGGCAGGCCUAACACAUGCAAGUCGCACGAGAAUCCGGCUUCGGCCGGUAGUAAAGUGGCGGACGGGUGAGUAACACGUGGAUAAUCUGCCCUUCGGCGGGGGACAACAGUCCGAAAGGAUUGCCACUACCGCAUACGUCAGCGAGGUCUUCGGACCUUGGUGGGAAAGAUGGCCUCUUCAUGAAAGCUAUCACCGAAGGAUGUAUCCGCGGCCCAUCAGCUAGUUGGCGGGGUAAGGGCCCACCAAGGCUAAGACGGGUAGCUGGUCUGAGAGGAUGAUCAGCCACACUGGAACUGAGACACGGUCCAGACUCCUACGGGAGGCAGCAGUGGGGAAUAUGGGGCAAUGGGCGCAAGCCUGACCCAGCCAUGCCGCGUGAGUGAUGAAGGCCUUCGGGUCGUAAACCGCUUUUGUCCGGAAAGAAAAGGCGCCACCUAAUACGGGGCGUUCUUGACGGUACCGGAAGAAUAAGCACCGGCUAACUACGUGCCAGCAGCCGCGGUAAUAC